CUCGAGGAGAACAUUAAAAAAAACAAAACACACCAAUGUAGUAAUUUGUUUUGAUUGCUGUUGGUCGUUGGGAUAGUAUCCUCAACUGUUCUAAUGCCUUGUUGACAGUAAAAUAGGUAGCCCUAAUUUUCAUUAAACGCGAACAGGCACCAUUUUCACGUUAUUCGUAUUAUUUACUCUUGCUACAUAUCCAUUUGAAUUUAG